UACGGAAGGCAGCAGUGGGGAAUAUUGCACAAUGGGCGCAAGCCUGAUGCAGCCAUGCCGCGUGUAUGAAGAAGGCCUUCGGGUUGUAAAGUACUUUCAGUCGUGAGGAAGGUGUUAAGGUUAAUAACCUUAGCAAUUGACGUUAGCGACAGAAGAAGCACCGGCUAACUCCGUGCCAGCAGCCGCGGUAAUACGGAGGGUGCGAGCGUUAAUCGGAAUUACUGGGCGUAAAGGGCACGCAGGCGGUUAAUUAAGUUGGAUGUGAAAUCCCCGGGCUUAACCUGGGAAUGGCAUUCAAGACUGGUUAGCUAGAGUCUUGUAGAGGGGGUAGAAUUCCAUGUGUAGCGGUGAAAUGCGUAGAGAUGUGGAGGAAUACCGGUGGCGAAGGCGGCCCCUGGGACAAAGACUGACGCUCAUGUGCGAAAGCGUGGGGAGCAAACAGGGAUUAGAUA
rnacentral:rRNA from 1 species